UCCCUGGUGGCUCAGAUGGUAAAGCAUCUGCCUGCAAUGCAGGAGACCGGAGUUCAAUUCCUGGGUUGGGAA
rfam:Ovis aries breed Texel chromosome 16, whole genome shotgun sequence.